CAAAAAGAAUAACGAAUACGACUCGAUGAAACCGCCGCUCAAAUCUCCAAGAGAAAGCUACGCAUAUGCAGUAUGUAUAAGCAUGGCACACAUGCUUCUACUGCAUAAUCUUCGCCACGAGCAGGGAUACCAGCGCGGACGACACCACGGCCACGGCGGACGCCGCCGGAGCGGAGGCCGCCCCGGCGAUCGGAGAGGGCGCGGGCGCGGACGACGGCGCCGUGGUGAACUCCUGCGCCGACGCGGAGGCGACGAGCACGGCCGCGGCGAGGAGCAGCACGGAGGCGAAGCGUGAAGCCAUCUCGGGACGAUCGACUUGCUGGAAGGCUUUGAACUUGCUUGCUAGCUCUCGAAGACUCUGCUGCGGCGGUGGCGGUGGCGGUGGCGGUGUGCGUGUACUCUGCUGCGGAUUGCGAUGCUGCGAUGGGGGGAGGAGGUUUAUAUAGGCCGCCCAAGCGGAGGGCUGCGCCGUGGGAUCGGCGGGUCGCAGUCGUGGGUUUAAUUUCUCUCCGUGUCCGCGCGCGUCUGCGUUCCUUCCGCGGGGGGCACGGCACGGCAC
rnacentral:lncRNA from 1 species